rnacentral:lncRNA from 1 species
CAUGGCCAACUCAUUCAGAUCACUCCCACACUACGCAGAAUAAAUAUGAGUGUGAAGUUCCUGGAAUAAAGUGCUGUUCAGGCCAAUUCUGAUUACUGUCCAUAAAUCACUCUGUUAGAAAGACUUCCAAUUUAUCUUUCUUGUCAAAUAGUUCACCAGACAAACUUUUCCAGAGGAGGCACAUAAUAUUUUCAAACCUGUCUUAGGUUAUAAUUCUCCCUCUUUAGUUUCCCUCACGUUCAUACGCUGCUUAUGGCCAAGCGAGUAUUAACCUCCGAGUACAGAAGUUAAACUCCUGAAUGGAAAGAUGAGGUGACUUUCACAGCAGAAUAUGUCACCACCUAAAUGGUGGUUACAACUUUUUGCCUGCAGUCUUGCACGCGGUGAAACCAAAGGCACUUCAGGAGUGCCGAUGUAACAUUCCGCUGCUGCUCCCUUUGCUCCUUCCUUUGCUCAGAUGCACAGAAAGUCCUUUCCAACGGCACAUAACCCAGCAGAAAACUUCUGCUGUCUCUUUCCUGAUCGAACCGUAGCAACUGCUGAGUGGUAGUUUUAAGGAAGAGCUUUAUAAGCAGGACAGAGAAACGGUAUCAUCUGAGUAAACACACAAACUGUUUGAUUAAAAGAUCUGCAAAUACUUUUAAAUAAAGAUUUUUCUUACCUUCUUCAGCAAGUGCUCCGAGGGACACGCUCCCUAGGAUGAAGAUGAAGAAUGGAACUUUAAUAAACAUCUUUCUUCUGCUUAGAGAAGAGCUUUCCAGUGCUGAGACCAGACAGAUUCAGACUCUGAUAAAUUUUUUAGAGGCGAGCAAGAAUUGAGAUCAUGAAAAGAAAUCACUGCAGAAACGACUUUGGUAUUCCAAAUAUUCCUUUAGCUGCUGUUGCUGAAGGGGAGAGGUUUGCACGGAUGAUAACUAUACAGCUAAAGCAAAGUAUCUGAGUGGUGUCAGCAUUUUUUUGUUUAGCCGAGGGGUGGGAGCAUGCAUAAGGUGGUCUCAAAAAGAAGAGCCAGGCCCGCCCUCUGCGCUCUGUUUGGGCAGUGCUGAAGUUAUGAUCUCAGCCCAGGUUUAAAGUUACAGGAGCUGUUGUGGCUUUCAGAAGACUUUUAUUUAGCAGAGGGGGAAAGAGGAUUCAGGCAGAGAGAAGCAUUCAGGGAGUUCCCUCCCUUCUGCAAACUGUCCCUAAAAAUAUUGGAGGAACAGCACUAAGGACAUUUGUCCUGUUAUUUCCAGCUGUGAACUGAUGGGUUUUUAUUUCAAAGCAAGACCCCAUGUUUAUCUGAGUAACUGUGGUAAUGAAUGUGCUUUUAGGGAUACUGAAAUAGUUUUAGGAGAGGGUAUUUAUUUAAUUCUGUAGUAAAUACUGUCUGACUUCUUCUGCACGUCUAAGUCUCUUUCAGCCAGUGUCCUCAAGUGACAUGCUGGCUGUGCUCUAGCAUUUAUCUUUGAC